rnacentral:rRNA from 1 species
AGUCGAGCGGUAGAGAGAAGCUUGCUUCUCUUGAGAGCGGCGGACGGGUGAGUAAUGCCUAGGAAUCUGCCUGGUAGUGGGGGAUAACGUUCGGAAACGGACGCUAAUACCGCAUACGUCCUACGGGAGAAAGCAGGGGACCUUCGGGCCUUGCGCUAUCAGAUGAGCCUAGGUCGGAUUAGCUAGUUGGUGAGGUAAUGGCUCACCAAGGCGACGAUCCGUAACUGGUCUGAGAGGAUGAUCAGUCACACUGGAACUGAGACACGGUCCAGACUCCUACGGGAGGCAGCAGUGGGGAAUAUUGGACAAUGGGCGAAAGCCUGAUCCAGCCAUGCCGCGUGUGCGAAGAAGGUCUUCGGAUUGUAAAGCACUUUAAGUUGGGAGGAAGGGCAGUUGCCUAAUACGUAACUGUUUUGACGUUACCGACAGAAUAAGCACCGGCUAACUCUGUGCCAGCAGCCGCGGUAAUACAGAGGGUGCAAGCGUUAAUCGGAAUUACUGGGCGUAAAGCGCGCGUAGGUGGUUUGUUAAGUUGGAUGUGAAAUCCCCGGGCUCAACCUGGGAACUGCAUUCAAAACUGACUGACUAGAGUAUGGUAGAGGGUGGUGGAAUUUCCUGUGUAGCGGUGAAAUGCGUAGAUAUAGGAAGGAACACCAGUGGCGAAGGCGACCACCUGGACUAAUACUGACACUGAGGUGCGAAAGCGUGGGGAGCAAACAGGAUUAGAUACCCUGGUAGUCCACGCCGUAAACGAUGUCAACUAGCCGUUGGAAGCCUUGAGCUUUUAGUGGCGCAGCUAAC